UGGGGAAUAUUGCACAAUGGGCGCAAGCCUGAUGCAGCCAUGCCGCGUGUAUGAAGAAGGCCUUCGGGUUGUAAAGUACUUUCAGCGGGGAGGAAGGCGAUAAGGUUAAUAACCUUGUCGAUUGACGUUACCCGCAGAAGAAGCACCGGCUACCUCCGUGCCAGCAGCCGCGGUCAUACGGAGGGUGCAAGCGUUAAUCGGAAUUCCUGGGCGUAAAGCGCACGCAGGCGGUCUGUCAAGUCGGAUGUGAAAUCCCCGGGCUCAACCUGGGAACUGCAUUCGAAACUGGCAGGCUAGAGUCUUGUAGAGGGGGGUAGAAUUCCAGGUGUAGCGGUGAAAUGCGUAGAGAUCUGGAGGAAUACCGGUGGCGAAGGCGGCCCCCUGGACAAAGACUGACGCUCAGGUGCGAAAGCGUGGGGAGCAAACA
rnacentral:rRNA from 1 species